UACCUAAAAGGCAAAAUGAUAUAACAAGACUUAUCCUACAGACCUGGAUGAGGAUCUGGGCUCCUAGCUUUAGCCUGGACUAGCCCUGGCCUUGAACUGCCCCAGCCUUUGUGGCUAUGGCCAUUUGAGGAGUGAAUCGGCAGAUGAAGGAUCUCUCUCUCUCUCUCUCACUCUCUCUUAUCCAGUUCUCUGUCUCUGUCUCUAUCUCUAUCUCAUCUCUAUCUCUAUCUCUCUCUUCCACUCCCUCCCUCCAUCUCUCUCUGUCAUCAUGCCUUUCAAUUAAAUAAAUGCAUAAUUCUUUAUAAAAUUUAAAGAUAGAAGUUCAGGUGUCAGAAUCCUCUCAUCAUAUCUGCAGAAACAGAAGACCUCACGUCAUGUGCUGACUUGCAAUCCCCAUGAGGUCAAGUUUCCUAGAAGCCCUUUUCACUGUGGUGAAUCAAGCAUUAAAGAUGGUACCUGGUGGCUGUGAAAGACCCUGAACGUACUGCUGCACACAGACCAGAGACCACAUGGUUCUCCCUUAAUUCUGAAUAAGUACUUCCUUUCCUUCACUUCUGGCCUUUUCACUGAUGGUCUAAUUGCUGCACUUUUCCUCCAAAUACCCACAAGCCUCCCUGCCUCAUCUCUUUCAAGUCUGCACCACGAGCACUUUCUCAGUGAAAUCAACGCUGGCCACUCCACUCAGCAUGGCAUUCCGCCUGGCCCCCAGCAUUCCCAGAUUUCAUACUCUAUUUUUCUACCACUUUCUAACAUCUUACAGAAUUUUUAUUCACUUAAAUUUAUUUUAUGUCC